AUCCUCAAGAUAGGCAGCCUUUGAUCUGUGGAGAUAAGUCACAAGAGCUAAGCAUAUGGUUCGGUCCAUUUGGCAAGUAAUUGAGUUGAGUGAAAACCUUAGACAUAUGUUGAGAGAAACACUUAUAGCAUACCAUGUGAGGUUGAAUCUUAACUUGUUUACUGCAUGCUACAGCUUUACAUUCACCAUGAUUAUGUCUUCGUCCUACAUGUUACAUGUGUGUCAUGUAUUGACAUUAACCUUCGAAAUUCCGUGGAUUGAACUGAAUUAUCAUGUGAUCUUGGUGUUGCAAUGUUAGGGAGAUUGCUGAGACAAAGUGUUAAGGGCAUUAGAGUUUUGUAGUCUGUGCUAUUGUUGAGUCUUUUCAGAGUCUUAGUUUAGUGUUUUGCUCGAGGACUAGCAAAAGCUAAGUGUGGGGUAUUUUGAUAGUCGCAUAUUUGUGCGACUUUUAUCAUGCUAAUUAUUCUUAUUACUUAUUUAUUUUGUGAUGUUUUCCUAUUUUUAAUUAACUUUAUUUGUUUUUAGGUGUUUUGNNN
rnacentral:lncRNA from 1 species